GAAACGCCGAAAAAAAAACCAAAAGGCGACAGAGAGAAACUGGUUGAACGAAUGCGAAUGAUGUAAGGCAUCUCAUUAAUUCUCUUCUUCAUUUUCCUCCUCUUUAUUCUCCUCA
rnacentral:ribozyme from 1 species